rnacentral:rRNA from 1 species
UGGGGAAUAUUGGACAAUGGGCGAAAGCCUGAUCCAGCCAUGCCGCGUGUGUGAAGAAGGUCUUCGGAUUGUAAAGCACUUUAAGUUGGGAGGAAGGGCAGUAAGCGAAUACCUUGCUGUUUUGACGUUACCGACAGAAUAAGCACCGGCUAACUCUGUGCCAGCAGACGAGGUAAUACAGAGGGUGCAAGCGUUAAUCGGAAUUACUGGGCGUAAAGCGCGCGUAGGUGGUUCGUUAAGUUGAAUGUGAAAGCCCCGGGCUCAACCUAGGAACUGCAUCCAAAACUGGCGAGCUAGAGUAGGGCAGAGGGUGGUGGAAUUUCCUGUGUAGCGGUGAAAUGCGUAGAUAUAGGAAGGAACACCAGUGGCGAAGGCGACCACCUGGGCUCAUACUAACACUGAGGUGCGAAAGCGUGGGGAGCAAACAGG